AACGAACGCUGGCGGCAUGCCUAACACAUGCAAGUCGAACGAGAUCUUCGGGUCUAGUGGCGCACGGGUGCGUAACGCGUGGGAAUCUGCCCUUUGGUUCGGAAUAACAGUUGGAAACGACUGCUAAUACCGGAUGAUGACGAAAGUCCAAAGAUUUAUCGCCAGAGGAUGAGCUCGCGUAGGAUUAGCUAGUUGGUGUGGUAAAGGCGCACCAAGGCGACGAUCCUUAGCUGGUCUGAGAGGAUGAUCAGCCACACUGGGACUGAGACACGGCCCAGACUCCUACGGGAGGCAGCAGUGGGGAAUAUUGGACAAUGGGCGAAAGCCUGAUCCAGCAAUGCCGCGUGAGUGAUGAAGGCCUUAGGGUUGUAAAGCUCUUUUACCCGGGAUGAUAAUGACAGUACCGGGAGGAUAAGCUCCGGCUAACUCCGUGCCAGCCGCCGCGGUAA
rnacentral:rRNA from 1 species